AUUGAACGCUGGCGGCAGGCCUAACACAUGCAAGUCGAGCGAGCGGCGGACGGGUGUGUAAUGUCUGGGAAACUGCCUGAUGGAGGGGGAGAACUACUGGAAACGGUAGCUAUUACCGCAUAUGACCAGAUGUGCCAAGAUGGGAGUAGCUAGUAGGUGGGGUAAUGGCUCACCUAGGCGACGAUCCCUAGCUGUUGUGAGAGGAUGACCAGCCACACGGGAACUGAGACACGGUCCAGACUCCUACGGGAGGCAGCAGUGGGGAAUAUUGCACAAGGGGCGCAAGCCUGAUGCAGCCAUGCCGCGUGUAUGAAGAAGGCCUUCGGGUUGUAAAGUACUUUCAGCGAGGAGGCGUUACUCGCAGAAGAAGCACCGGCUAACUCCGUGCCAGCAGCCGCGGUAAUUC
rnacentral:rRNA from 1 species